GACGAACGCUGGCGGCGUGCUUAACACAUGCAAGUCGAACGAAGUGGCGAACGGGUGAGUAACGCGUAAUCAACCUGCCCUUCAGAGGGGGACAACAGUUGGAAACGACUGCUAAUACCGCAUACUGAAGGAGGGGAUUGCGUCUGAUUGGCUAGUUGGAGGGGUAACGGCCCACCAAGGCGAUGAUCAGUUGCCGGGUUGGGGAGUUGCACCGGCACAAUGGGAACGAGACACGGCCCAGAACUCCACGGGAGGCAGCCGUGGGGGAUGUUCCGAAAUUGACGGAAGGCUGACGGGGCAAAGGCGGGGUAGGGGUGACGGGCUUCGGGUUGGAAAGCCUUGGUAAUCGGGACGCGGUACCGGAAUAGAAAGCCACUGCUAACUACGGGCCAGCCGCCGCGGUAAUAC
rnacentral:rRNA from 1 species